rnacentral:rRNA from 1 species
GGAUUGUAAACUCUUGUUGUUGAGGAAGAUAAUGACGGUACUCCACAAGGAAGUGACGGCUAACUACGUGCCAGCAGCCGCGGUAAAACGUAGGUCACAAGCGUUGUCCGGAAUUACUGGGUGUAAAGGGAGCGCAGGCGGGAAGACAAGUUGGAAGUGAAAUCCAUGGGCUCAACCCAUGAACUGCUUUCAAAACUGUUUUUCUUGAGUAGUGCAGAGGUAGGCGGAAUUCCCGGUGUAGCGGUGGAAUGCGUAGAUAUCGGGAGGAACACCAGUGGCGAAGGCGGCCUACUGGGCACCAACUGACGCUGAGGCUCGAAAGUGUGGGUAGCAAACAGGAUUAGAUACCCUGGUAGUCCACACUGUAAA